AUCUUUGUAUCGAGUGAGUGAUAGAGUGCACCAACAAAGACACCCAACUUUCGUGAAACCAAUGUCGUCGUCGUCACUCCUCCACAGUCGAAGACCACUCUUCUCUGCCCUCAGAACCCUCUCUCUCCGGCAUUUCUCCACUUCACUUCCUCGUAUUUUGGUGGAGGACAAAGACAAUGCUACACCUGAAAAAAGCCCUAGCUUUAUUCAUCCCGCCGCAAUCGUUCAUCCAGGUGCCGUCAUAGGUCAGGGUGUUUCAAUUGGCCCCUUUUGUACAGUUGGAUCUUCUGCAAAGUUGGGUAAUGCUUGCCAACUAUAUCCAGGGAGCCAUAUUUUUGGAAAUACAGAACUUGGGGAUCAAUGUGUCUUGAUGACUGGUGCUGUGGUUGGGGAUGAUCUUCCUGGGCGUACAGUCAUUGGAUGCAAUAAUGUUAUAGGGCAUCAUUGUGUGGUUGGUAUUAAAUGCCAAGACAUGAAGUACAAGUCAGGGGAUGGAUGUUUUCUAGAGAUUGGUGACAACAACGAGAUAAGGGAGCAUACCUCUAUCCAUCGAUCUUCAAAGCCACGUGAGAAAACUGUCAUUGGUGAUAACAAUCUGGUUAUGGGGUCUUGUCAUAUUGCCCAUGACUGCAAAGUGGGAAGCAACAACAUUUUGGCGAAUAAUACUCUUCUAGCAGGCCAUGUGGUGGUGGAGGACUAUGCUCACACUGCAGGGGCCACUGUUGUUCAUCAAUUUUGCCAUAUUGGCUCUUUUUCUUUCAUUGGUGGUGGUUCAGUGGUUUCACAAGAUGUCCCAAAAUACAUGAUGGUGUCCGGAGAAAGGGCUGAUCUCCGUGGUUUAAAUUUGGAAGGUCUUCGACGGCGUGGAUUUUCGGAUUCUGAGGAUCUAGAUCAGGAGCCUGAGAAUAGCUUACAGAAAGAUAUUCAUGCCUACCGAUGUGAAUUCUGGUGGUAUCGAGAACCGUCUCACGGAAGUGGAGCAGAAUGAAGAACUUGCAUAUGUUCCUGCUGUGUGUUCAAUGGUUCAGUCCAUUCGCGAUUCUUUUGCUGAAGAUCGUCGUGGAAUUUGCAGGUUUCGAUCUUGGAGUGGUUCGUAGAAUGCAUGCUACUGUAGCUUUACUGUAUGAAAUCACCACAAACCGAAUGUCAUGCCAGAUUGUGCCCCUCUCCAGCAAGUUGGGGUUGCAAAUUACUGCAACCAAUCAAUCUGAACUGCCGAUACAUUGAACGUUCUCCGACCUUGUACAACCUGAAAAUCAUCGAUGACGUGAAUGCUCUUCAAAAGAUUGAUAGCUAAUCAAUGCAGAGAAUUUCUUUUGUACAGUAUUAUACAUGCAUAAAGGUGAUUUUGUUUAUGUGGGGAGUAGUUUCAAACAAUUGCGGGAGGUUGAAACUUAACCUACGGAUGCGGAUCCUCUAUGAGGUUCAUGUGAGGGUUUCUUUGUGAUGCUGCCAACACAUUCAGGAGCAGAUCCAACGGUCCAGAAUAGAGCUUCUACUUUCUUUAAUCAAACGACGCUAGAUUGUGGAAUCAAUGUCCAACGGAGAGUAAACCGAGAGAAAACCAUCUGUCAUCUUCUCCUUUGCAGCCCGUUUCCACCCCCUCCAUGGCUGAAAGUGCUUCUUGGUUUUCAUUCAUCAACUGACUUAAGUAUGGGAUUUGAUGGAGAUUUUUGUGGGUUUUUGCGAGGGAGUCGUGAUAGAAAAUUGAGAAGAUAGGAUUCACGGGAAGCUGAUGAGAAGGUGGGGAAGUGGAUUACGGGGCAGAUUUUUUCCUCCCCACUUGUGACUUUUGGAAUUGGAUUACAGGGCAUAAAUUACAUGAGAUCUAGAAGUCGUGAUGGGAAAUUAUAGGUCUGAUUAUUGUUCCUCCCCAUUCUUCUUCCUCACCAUUUCCGAUUUUGAUCCAGAAGUGAACUCUCUAUUUCAAUUUGUCCCAGCAAAGUUAGGGCAUAUUUUGGCCUUUUUUCCCCCCUUGUUCUUUCUGAAGUCGAGAAUGGCAUGAUGGACGGAGAAAACGAACAAGAAAACGGUGGAGUGUUUUCUCUCCGUUGGACCAUUUUCCGUAUCCAGUGUCGUUUGGUUAAUGAAAGUAGAAGCUCUAUUCUAGACCGUUGGAUCCGCUCCUGAACGUGUUGGCAGCCUCACAUAGAAACCCUCACAUGAUCCUCACAGAGGAAUCUCACUGAGGAUCCAGAUCCUUAAACUAUGGAAAAGGUUCAAUUUGGUACCUGCACUUGUAAGUGAU